UACGGGGGGAGCAAGCGUUGUUCGGAUUUACUGGGCGUAAAGGGCGCGUAGGCGGCGCAACAAGUCACUUGUGAAAUCUCCGGGCUUAACCCGGAGCGGCCAAGUGAUACUGUCGUGCUAGAGUGCGGAAGGGGCUACUGGAAUUCUCGGUGUAGCGGUGAAAUGCGUAGAGAUCGGGAGGAACACCAGUGGCGAAGGCGGCCUUCUGGACCAGUACUGACGCUCAUGCACGAAAGCGUGGGGAGCAAACAGG
rnacentral:rRNA from 1 species